rnacentral:rRNA from 1 species
GUACACGCUGUGACUAGCAUAUCAAUAAGCGGAGGAAAAGAAACUAACAAGGAUUCCCUUAGUAACGGCGAGUGAAGCGGGAAGAGCUCAAAUUUGAAAUCUUCAAGGUUUUACCUCGACGAAUUGUAGUUUAAAGAAGUGUUUUCUGCUGAAGUUUUGGUAAAAGUUCUUUGGAAUAGGACAUCACAGAGGGUGAGAAUCCCGUCUAUGAUUGCGAUUUGUAGCUUUGUGAUACACUUUCAAAGAGUCGGGUUGUUUGGGAAUGCAGCCCAAAACGGGAGGUAAAUUUCUUCUAAGGCUAAAUAUUGGCGAGAGACCGAUAGCGAACAAGUACCGUGAGGGAAAGAUGAAAAGAACUUUGAAAAGAGAGUUGAAUAGUACGUGAAAUUGUCAAAAGGGAAGCGUUUAACACCAGUGUUGUUUUCUGAAAAUCAACCUCUGUUAGCUUUAUGCAUGUUUGUUUAGACCUAAUCAGCUAUCUUUCAUGUUCUAUUGUUUGCAGUGGUGCACUUUUCAGUUUACAGGUCAACAUCAGUUUUUUUUACCGUAAAAAAGUUAAAGAAAGGUAGCUCAUGGCUCCGGUCGUGAGUGUUAUAGUCUUUUUCCUAUGCGGUAGGAGAGACUGAGGUCUGCAGUGUAGGCUAUUUGGCUAGAUACUCAGGUGCUAUGUGAUACCAUUUCAUAAACAACUUGUUGAUUAUGUUUUGUCUAUUGCAUACUCGCUUGUACUAUCAUACCUACGCUUAGGAUGUUGAGUAGCGACAUACGCAC